rnacentral:rRNA from 1 species
UACGGAAGGCAGCAGUGGGGAAUAUUGCACAAUGGGCGAAAGCCUGAUGCAGCUAUGCCGCGUGUAUGAAGAAGGCCUUAGGGUUGUAAAGUACUUUCAUCGGGGAGGAAAAACAAAACUAAUAAUUUUAUUUCUUGACGUUACCCGAAAAAGAAGCACCGGCUAACUCCGUGCCAGCAGCCGCGGUAAUACGGAGGGUGCUAGCGUUAAUCAGAAUUACUGGGCGUAAAGAGCACGUAGGUGGUUUUUUUAAGUUCAGAUGUGAAAUCCCUGGGCUUAACCUGGAACUGCAUUUUGAAACUGAAAUACUAGAGUAUCGUAGAGGGAGGUAGAAUUCUAGGUGUAGCGGUGAAAUGCGUAGAUAUCUGGAGGAAUACCUGUGGCGAAAGCGGCCUCCUAAACGAAUACUGACACUGAGGUGCGAAAGCGUGGGGAGCAAACAGGAUUAGAUACC